GUUUUUCUAAUACAACUAGUAUAAGUGACUUCCAAUCACUAAGUCUCAAUAAAACCUGAGGAAAAACA
rnacentral:tRNA from 1 species